rnacentral:ncRNA from 1 species
UUGAUAUAUUAAAAAAUUUGACCUUAGUUUGAUUUUUAAUUGUUGUGAUUUUAUACAUGUUAGGUUUUAUGAAAAUAUAUUCGUUUUUUAUAAAGAUGUAUAUAUAAAUUUAUAGUGUUUAAUAUAGUUAUAAAAUAUGUACUUAUUUUUUUAUAUUGUUAUGUGAUAUAUAUUAUAAUUAUAUUUAUAAAAUGUUCAGUAUAUAUAAUUAUACAAUAAAUGAAAGUUUUAUAUAGAAAUCGCAUUUGAUAAUUGGUUAAAUUUGUGCCAGCAUCUGCGGUUAUACAAAUAAUUAAAAUUAAGAAUUUUUGGUUAAAAUUAAAGUAAUAAUAAAAUUAAUUUUUGAAAAUUGUUAUGAUUAGUUUUUAGGUAAAAUUUUUAGAUUGAUUAGUUUCUCUUUUUUUUCUUUAUUAUUAAUUCUUUGAAAAUUCAAUUAUAGACUAGGAUUAGAUACCCUAUUAUUUUGAUUUAUAAAAAUUGGUAAUACCUAAGUAUUAUGAAAAUAUUAUUAUUAUUAUUAUAUUAAUAUUAUAUUAUUUAAAACUUAAAAGGUUUGGCGGUUUUACAUAUCCAGUUAGGGGAGUUUGUUAAUUGAUUUGAUGAUCCUCGUUUUAAACUUACUUUUUUUUGAUAUAUUUAUAUAUACAGUUUGUAUAUUGCUGUCGUUAGUUUAUGUUUUGAGAAUUAUUAAAAGACUAGGAAAUGUAUUGAUUUUUAUGUUAAGUCAUAAUGCAGCUAAUAAAAAAGGUUUAAUGAACUACUUUAAUAAAUUUUGUUAAAUAUCCGGAUAUUAGAAAUUAUAUUUUAUUAGAAAGGUGGACUUAAUAGUAAAUAAUAAUUAGUGUGUAUUAUUGAAUUUGGUUUUGUAGAGUGUACAUAUCGCCCGUCACUCUUGUUAGUAAGAUAAGAUAAGUCGUAACAUAGUAGAGGUAGUGGAAAUUGUUUCUGGAAUAAAAUUAUUA